rnacentral:rRNA from 1 species
GGGGUGCAGCAGGCGCGAAAACUCUGCAAUAAGCGAAAGCUUGACAGGGUUACUCUGAGUGAUGCCCGCUAAGGGUAUCUUUUGGCACCUCUAAAAAUGGUGCAGAAUAAGGGGUGGGCAAGUCUGGUGUCAGCCGCCGCGGUAAUACCAGCACCCCGAGUUGUCGGGACGAUUAUUGGGCCUAAAGCAUCCGUAGCCUGUUCUACAAGUCCUCCGUUAAAUCCACCUGCUCAACAGAUGGGCUGCGGGGGAUACUACAGAGCUAGGAGGCGGGAGAGGCAAACGGUACUCAGUGGGUAGGGGUAAAAUCCAUUGAUCUACUGAAGACCACCAGUGGCGAAAGCGGUUUGCCAGAAUCUCUCGACGGUGAGGGAUGAAAACCGGGGGAGCCACCGGAUUACUAACGGGUAGUCCCAGCUGUAAACUAUGCAGAAUCGGUGAUG